GUUACUCUGAUAGUCUCGUAGCAACCGUGCUGUAAUCAGCAGAAGAGUAUGUAAUCUAACUCAGCGGCUAAAGGAUUAC
rnacentral:ncRNA from 1 species